rnacentral:lncRNA from 1 species
GGUAACGAAGAGCAGCAGAAGGCAAAAAGACUGACAGUCAUCUAUAAGGAAGCAGUCUGGAACUGCAGGCUAAUUAAAAGGUUUUGUGCUUAGGGUCACCUUGUAAAUGAAACAUGUCAGUCAAGAAGUCAUGGUCAGAAGUUACUCGAUCGAGAUGUUCAGCAGUACCCAGCCUUGUGCUCCAGUCCUGUUUACUCUUCUCCAUGUUAAAACUAUUCCAAGGCCAAUGAUUAUAAAAAAGAUUGCGAGGAAGAAAAAGGAUGGCAAAGGGGAGUGAGAGAGAGAACAAAGGAAGAUAAUGAGGGAAGAAGAAAAGAAGAAAGAAAGUAGGAGUAAACUCUGGAAAGAAGGAAAAGAAGGAUGGGAGAAAAGGGAGGAGACAGCCAUUUUAACUCCAGUUCUGUCAGAGAUCAUAACUAUUACCUCUACCUUCUCUGCAUCAGGAGAAUGGAGAGUAAGCAGGAAAUGGAAUGGCCGAACUGGCACCCUCUCUUUUCACCGUAGCAUUGGGAGCCUGUAAUGAUCCCCCUGGUCUCCAUCAGACCAGUAGGAGGUGGUAGCAAGAGAUGGUAAUUUGUCCUCCUCUCCUCCCUCCUGAGGCUGCAGAUAAUCCCAGCAGUCAUAUAUGUAACUACAAAACAAAUAAACCAUCAACAUUGGAAGCA